rnacentral:rRNA from 1 species
GAUGAACGCUGGCGGCGUGCCUGACACAUGCAAGUCGAACGCAUCGGCGCAAGUCGGUGAGUGGCGAACGGGUGAGUAACACGUGGGUCAUCUGCCUCUUAGUGGGGAAUAACUGUUCGAAAGAGCAGCUAAUUCCGCAUACGGUCCCGCAAGGGAAGAAAGGGCGCAAGCUCGCUGAGAGAGGAACCCGCGGCCGAUUAGCUAGUUGGUGGGGUAACGGCCUACCAAGGCGAGGAUCGGUAGCUGGUCUGAGAGGGCGACCGGCCACACUGGGACUGAGACACGGACCAGACUCCUACGGGAGGCAGCAGUGGGGAAUAUUGCGCAAUGGGCGAAAGCCUGACGCAGCAACGCCGCGUGAGGGAUGACGGCCUUCGGGUUGUAAACCUCUUUCAGCGGGGACGAAGCGAAAGUGACUGUACCCGCAGAAGAAGCGCCGGCUAACUACGUGCCAGCCGCCGCAGUAAGAC